GUUUGAUCAUGGCUCAGGACGAACGCUGGCGGCGUGCCUAAUACAUGCAAGUCGAGCGAACCACUUCGGUGGUUAGCGGCGGACGGGUGAGUAACACGUGGGCAACCUGCCUGUAAGACUGGGAUAACUUCGGGAAACCGGAGCUAAUACCGGAUAAUCCUUUUCCUCUCAUGAGGAAAAGCUGAAAGACGGUUUCGGCUGUCACUUACAGAUGGGCCCGCGGCGCAUUAGCUAGUUGGUGAGGUAACGGCUCACCAAGGCGACGAUGCGUAGCCGACCUGAGAGGGUGAUCGGCCACACUGGGACUGAGACACGGCCCAGACUCCUACGGGAGGCAGCAGUAGGGAAUCUUCCACAAUGGACGAAAGUCUGAUGGAGCAACGCCGCGUGAGCGAUGAAGGCCUUCGGGUCGUAAAGCUCUGUUGUUAGGGAAGAACAAGUACCGGAGUAACUGCC
rnacentral:rRNA from 2 species